ACGGGUGCGGAACACGUACGCAACCUUCCUUCAAGCGGGGCAUAGCUUUCGGAAACGAAAAUUAAUACCCCAUAGUAAUAUCUGAGGGCAUCUGAGGAUAUUUAAAGAUUUAUCACUUGAAGAUGGGCGUGCGCCUGAUUAGGUAGUUGGCGGGGUAACGGCCCACCAAGCCUACGAUCAGUAACUGGUGUGAGAGCACGACCAGUCACACGGGCACUGAGACACGGGCCCGACUCCUACGGGAGGCAGCAGUAAGGAAUAUUGGUCAAUGGACGCAAGUCUGAACCAGCCAUGCCGCGUGGAGGAUGAAGGUCCUCUGGAUUGUAAACUUCUUUUAUCGGAGAAGAAACCCCCGAGUUCUCUUGGGGUUGACGGUACCCGAUGAAUAAGCACCGGCUAACUCCGUGCCAGCAGCCGCGGUAAUACGGAGGGUGCAAGCGUUAUCCGGAUUCACUGGGUUUAAAGGGAGCGUAGGCGGGCUGGUAAGUCAGUGGUGAAAUCUCCGGGCUUAACUCGGAAACUGCCGUUGAUACUAUCAGUCUUGAAUAUUGUGGAGGUAAGCGGAAUAUGUCAUGUAGCG
rnacentral:rRNA from 1 species